UAAACUGAAGAGUUUGAUCAUGGCUCAGAUUGAACGCUGGCGGCAGGCUUCAGACAUGCAAGUCGAGCGGAAACAGGCCGCUGUGAUCCCUUCGGGGUGAACUUGGUGCUGUCGAGCGGCGGACGGGUGAGUAACGCGUAGGAAUCUGCCCAGUAGAGGGGGAUAGCCCGAGGAAACUCGGAUUAAUACCGCAUACGCCCUACGGGGGAAAGCAGGGGAUCUUCGGACCUUGCACUAUUGGAUGGGCCUGCGUUGGAUUAGCUUGUUGGUGGGGUAAAGGCCUACCAAGGCGACGAUCCAUAGCUGGUUUGAGAGGAUGAUCAGCCACACUGGAACUGAGACACGGUCCAGACUCCUACGGGAGGCAGCAGUCGGGAAUAUUGGACAAUGGGCGCAAG
rnacentral:rRNA from 1 species